CCUACGGGGGACAGCAGUAGGGAAUAUUGCUCAAUGGGGGAAACCCUGAAGCAGCAACGCCGCGUGGAGGAUGAAGGUUUUCGGAUUGUAAACUCCUUUUGUUAGAGAAGAUAAUGACGGUAUCUAACGAAUAAGCACCGGCUACCUCCGUGCCAGCCGCCGCUGUAAUACGGAGGGUGCAAGCGUUACUCGGAAUCACUGGGCGGAAAGAGCGCGUAGGCGGGAUAGCAAGUCAGAUGUGAAAUCCUAUGGCUUAACCAUAGAACUGCAUUUGAAACUGUUAUUCUAGAGUAUGGGAGAGGUAGGUGGAAUUCUUGGUGUAGGGGUAAAAUCCGUAGAGAUCAAGAGGAAUACUCAUUGCGAAGGCGACCUGCUAGAACAUAACUGACGCUGAUGCGCGAAAGCGUGGGGAGCAAACAGGAUUAGAUACCCUGGUAGUC
rnacentral:rRNA from 1 species